UACCAGCACCCCGAGUGGUCGGGACGUUAUUGGGCCUAAAGCAUCCGUAGCCGGUUCUACAAGUCUUCCGUUAAAUCCACCUGCUUAACAGAUGGGCUGCGGAAGAUACUAUAGAGCUAGGAGGCGGGAGAGGCAAGCGGUACUCGAUGGGUAGGGGUAAAAUCCGUUGAUCCAUUGAAGACCACCAGUGGCGAAGGCGGCUUGCCAGAACGCGCUCGACGGUGAGGGAUGAAAGCUGGGGGAGCAAACCGG
rnacentral:rRNA from 1 species